rnacentral:rRNA from 1 species
GAUGAACGCUAGCGGCAGGCUUAACACAUGCAAGUCGAGGGGUAUGGUUCUUCGGAACCAGAGACCGGCGCACGGGUGCGUAACGCGUAUGCAAUCUACCUUUUACAGAGGGAUAGCCCAGAGAAAUUUGGAUUAAUACCUCAUAGCAUUGCAGGAUGGCAUCAUCCAGCAAUUAAAGUCACAACGGUAAAGAUGAGCAUGCGUCCCAUUAGCUAGUUGGUAAGGUAACGGCUUACCAAGGCUACGAUGGGUAGGGUCCUGAGAGGGAGAUCCCCCACACUGGUACUGAGACACGGACCAGACUCCUACGGGAGCAGCAGUGAGGAAUAUUGGACAAUGGGCGCAAGCCUGAUCCAGCCAUGCCGCGUGCAGGAUGACGGUCCUA